rnacentral:lncRNA from 1 species
GACUCCGUUCAUAUCAGUCCAAUAGCUCGUUUCGACCGGUUCAGCUGUUCUGGAACUAGUGGCGCUGAUGGAUUUUGAGUUUGACGCACGGAUUUCGAGAAAAUCCAAAAAUACAUGUUUUAUAUGUAUUUGUGUGUGUGUGUUUCCUUCUAUUGGAAGAAGGUUGGAUUUUGUUGUGAAUCCGUGGUCGAUCGAGAUGAAUCGUAAGUGUAGCUUUGUUGUCUCCGAGGUGCUGAUCGCACUGGUGCAAUCUGUUCGCAAAUCUGACGGACGGAUCUGCGGAGAUCGCGCGUUGAUCGAGGAGAGGUCAGGGAUGGCAAAACGGUAAUUUCGCGAAAGUCGCGAUAUUUUAUGUACCGUUUCGCGAGAGAUCGGGCAUGGAGGGGUAUUCGUGCCUUUUACUCACGCCGUGAGGGAUUCGGAUUGAAUUGCUGAGUUUGGAGGGACUUUAGCGCAAUUUGUUACCCUAUAUAUAUAAUGUAGUUAGGGUUCACUAUGGAAACCCUAACCCUAAUCCGCCCCUAGCUGACCCAGACCACCCUUGCCGUCCCAGCUGAGCCCUGCCCUGCCCGUGCGCGCGCCCCGGCCGCCGGCGAGCUGCUCCGGCCACCGGAAACCCGCCAACAGCCUUCCCAGUCCACCCUCUCGGCCAUCCUCUCCCCCACCUUGGCCGAGAGCAGGUAGAGAGGCUCCACCACCUCUGGAAGGGAAGCCCCAGCCGUGAUCCACCUCCAGCACGUUGUUCCCCCGGCUCCGGCCAUCCCCGGACACCGCCGGAGCCGCCUGAGGGAGCUGCGGCCAGCCCGGGUCAGCCCAGACCGAGCCGGGCCAACCUUGGAGCCGCGCCGCCCCCUAGCCCUGCCGCCGCUUCCCGACGGCCGCGGAGGUCUCCGCCGACCGUCCGGCGACCACCGCACCCGACCCCGGCCACCCUUGAGCGCCGCCGGCCGCCGCAGGUGCCCCCUGCCGCCGCCUUCGUGCUGUACGGGCCGAGCGCGGGCCGCCUUCACUCCCGGGCAUCGCCGCCGCCCGCCGACGCAAGCUCGGCCACCGCCUCGUCCCCC